rnacentral:misc_RNA from 1 species
GAAAUGCGAUAAGUAGUGUGAAUUGCAGAAUUCAGUGAAUCAUCGAAUCUUUGAACGCACAUUGCGCCCCUUGGUAUUCCAUGGGGCAUGCCUGUUCGAGCGUCAUUUGUACCCUCAAGCUCUGCUUGGUGUUGGGUGUUUGUCCCGUCUCCGCGCGUGGAGUCGCCCCAAAGUGAUUGGCAGCCGGCGUACUGGUCCCGGAGCACAGCACAUGUCGCGCAAACGAGUGCCUUGGUACGGCGGCGUCCAUAAGCCCCUCUCUCACGCUCUUGACCUCGGAUCAGGUAGGGAUACCCGCUGAACUUAAGC